rnacentral:tRNA from 1 species
GCGGGAAUAGCUCAGUUGGUAGAGCGCAACCUUGCCAAGGUUGCGCUCUACCUACUGAGCUAUUCCCGCA